rnacentral:rRNA from 2 species
UGGGGAAUAUUGGACAAUGGGCGCAAGCCUGAUCCAGCCAUGCCGCGUGAGUGAUGAAGGCCCUAGGGUUGUAAAGCUCUUUCACCGGUGAAGAUAAUGACGGUAACCGGAGAAGAAGCCCCGGCUAACUUCGUGCCAGCAGCCGCGGUAAUACGAAGGGGGCUAGCGUUGUUCGGAUUUACUGGGCGUAAAGCGCACGUAGGCGGACUUUUAAGUCAGGGGUGAAAUCCCGGGGCUCAACCCCGGAACUGCCUUUGAUACUGGGAGUCUUGAGUAUGGUAGAGGUGAGUGGAAUUCCGAGUGUAGAGGUGAAAUUCGUAGAUAUUCGGAGGAACACCAGUGGCGAAGGCGGCUCACUGGACCAUUACUGACGCUGAGGUGCGAAAGCGUGGGGAGCAAACAGG